GACGAACGCUGGCGGCGUGCCUAAUACAUGCAAGUAGAACGCUGAAGGAGGAGCUUGCUUCUCUGGAUGAGUUGCGAACGGGUGAGUAACGCGUAGGUAACCUGCCUGGUAGCGGGGACUAACUGUUGGAACCGAUAGCUAAUACCGCAUAAUAGCAGUUGUUGCAUGACAACUGUUUGAAAGGUGCAAUUGCACCACUACCAGAUGGACAUGCGUUGUAUUAGCUAGUUGGUGGGGUAACGGCUCACCAAGGCGACGAUUCAUAGCCGACCUGAGAGGGUGAUCGGCUAGCCUGGGACUGAGAAACGGCCCAGACUCCUGCGGGAGGCAGCAGUAGGGAAUCUUCGGCAAUGGACGGAAGGCUGACCGAGCAACGCCGCGGGAGUGAAGAAGGUUUUCGGAUCGUAAAGCUCUGUUGUAAGAGAAGAACGAGUGUGAGAGUGGAAAGUUCACACUGUGACGGUACCUAACCAGAAAGGGACGGCUAACUACGUG
rnacentral:rRNA from 1 species